UACGAAGGGUGCAAGCGUUACUCAGAAUUACUGGGCGUAAAGCGUGCGUAGGUGGUUUGUUAGGUCUGUUGUGAAAGCCCCGGGCUCAACCUGGGAAUGGCAAUGGAUACUGGCAGGCUAGAGUGCGGUAGAGGGUAGUGGAAUUCCCGGUGUAGCGGUGAAAUGCGUAGAGAUCGGGAGGAACACCAGUGGCGAAGGCGGCUACCUGGACCAGCACUGACACUGAGGCACGAAAGCGUGGGGAGCAAACAGG
rnacentral:rRNA from 1 species